GACGAACCGUACGAACGUUAUUCGGAAUCACUGGGCUUAAAGGGUGCGUAGGCGGUCCUAUAAGUAUGGUGUGAAAUCUCCCGGCUUAACUGGGAGGGUGCGCUAUAGACUGUGGGACUAGAGUGUGGGAGAGGAAAGUGGAAUUCCUGGUGUAGCGGUGAAAUGCGUAGAUAUCAGGAGGAACACCGGUGGUGUAAACGGCUUUCUGGACCAUAACUGACGCUGAGGCACGAAAGCGUGGGUAGCAAACAGG
rnacentral:rRNA from 1 species